UCAAGUAUUAUCUUGAUGUCUGCAUCCCUCUCAAAAAGUGGGUAGUUCUGUCCAGAAGCCGUUUGGCAUAGGGAUAAUUUUGUAAAGUGGUCUAGAACACAACACUAAAAUAAAACCUUAACUUCUUUCAAAAUUGUUUAUUAAUUUCUUUUCAGAUACCUACAGGUUACAUAUUUUGUAACUGAGAAUGGAGGGAAGGUCUGAUUGAAAUUGUAUACAUUUUAAAAUAGUAAUUGUCCUCCACAGAACAAAACAACACUUCCCCGUGGAUUUGUCUAUUGGAAAAUUAGAUUGAUUCUUGGUUCUUGGAAAAUGAAAUAAAUAAGAAUAAUUAUUUGUUGCUCAAAGAAGAUUGCUGCUAACUCUGACACAUAAGUGGUAGGGCAGACCCCUCAAAGUUGACAAAACUAUCUAUAUUCCGGCAAUUAAUAUGGACCCUUCUGGAUAAUAUUGAGGCUUUCCUAAUAAAAGAUAGUCGAUGAGGAUUAUUGCUUGCAAAUCCAAGAGACAGUCCUCUAAUCUUUCGGGCCAAUUCCAUGAUUAAAAAAAAAUACCAAACAGAAAGAAAUAGAUCGAUCCGACUGAAAUUUGUUGUGUGUUCUUCCA
rnacentral:lncRNA from 1 species